UACAGAGGUCUCAAGCGUUGUUCGGAUUCAUUGGGCGUAAAGGGUGCGUAGGUGGCGCUGUAAGUCAGGUGUGAAAUUUCGGAGCUUAACUCCGAAACUGCAUUUGAUACUGCGGUGCUUGAGGACUGGAGAGGAGACUGGAAUUUACGGUGUAGCAGUGAAAUGCGUAGAGACCGUAAGGAAGACCAGUGGCGAAGGCGGGUCUCUGGACAGUUCCUGACACUGAGGCACGAAGGCCAGGGGAGCAAACGGG
rnacentral:rRNA from 1 species